UACGUAGGGUGCGAGCGUUAAUCGGAAUGACUGGGCGUAAAGGGUGCGUAGGCGGUUUGCUACGUCUGAUGUGAAAUCCCUGGGCUCAACCUAGGAACAGCAUACGUGACGGGCAGGCUAGAGUAUCGAAGAGGGGGGUAGAAUUCCACGUGUAGCAGUGAAAUGCGUAGAGAUGUGGAGGAAUACCGAUGGCGAAGGCAGCCCCCUGGUCAGAUACUGACGCUGAGGCACGAAAGCGUGGGGAGCAAACAGG
rnacentral:rRNA from 1 species